GGCCAGACUCCUACGGGAGGCAGCAGUGGGAAAUAUUGCACAAUGGGGGAAACCCUGAUGCAGCGACGCCGCGUGAGUGAAGAAGUAUUUCGGUAUGUAAAGCUCUAUCAGCAGGAACGAGACAAGACGGUACCUGACUAAGAAGCCCCGGCUAACUACGUGCCAGCAGCCGCGGUAAUACGUAGGGGGCAAGCGUUAUCCGGAAUCACUGGGUGUAAAGGGAGCGUAGACGGCUGUGCAAGCCUGAAGUGAAAGGCGGGGGCCCAACCCCUGGACUGCUUUGGGAACUGUACGGCUGGAGUGCAGGAGAGGUAAGUGGAAUUCCUAGUGUAGCGGUGAAAUGCGUAGAUAUUAGGAGGAACACCAGUGGCGAAGGCGGCCUGCUGGACGAUGACUGACGUUGAGGCUCGAAAGCGUGGGGAGCAAACAGGAUUAGAUACCCCGGUA
rnacentral:rRNA from 1 species